rnacentral:rRNA from 1 species
AUAAGGUUAAGUUAAUAAGGGCGCACGGUGGAUGCCUUGGCACUAGAAGCCGAAGAAGGACGUGACAAACGACGAAAUGCUUUGGGGAGCUGUAAGUAAGCGCUGAUCCAGAGAUGUCCGAAUGGGGGAACCCACUAACUAAUGGUUAGUAUCCAUAACUGUUAAGGUUAUGAGAAGGAAGACGCAGUGAACUGAAACAUCUAAGUAGCUGCAGGAAGAGAAAGCAAACGCGAUUGCCUUAGUAGCGGCGAGCGAAACGGCAGGAGGGCAAACCGAAGUGUUUACACUUCGGGGUUGUAGGACUGCGACGUGGGACUUUAAAAGGAUAGAAGAAUUACCUGGGAAGGUAAGCCAAAGAGAGUAAAAGCCUCGUAUUUAAAAUUCUUUUGAGCCCUAGCAGUAUCCUGAGUACGGCGAGACACGUGAAAUCUCGUUGGAAUCUGGGAGGACCAUCUCCCAACCCUAAAUACUCUCUAGUGACCGAUAGUGAACCAGUACCGUGAGGGAAAGGUGAAAAGCACCCCGGGAGGGGAGUGAAAUAGAA